rnacentral:rRNA from 1 species
UACGAAGGGUGCAAACGUUGCUCGGAAUUAUUGGGGCGUAAAGCGCACGUAGGCGGCUUUUCAAGUCCCAUGUGAAAGCCCACGGCUUAACCGUGGAAGUGCAUGGGAAACUGGAAGCUUGAGUACUUAAGAGGAUCGCGGAAAUUCCCGGUGUAGAGGUGGAAAUUCGUAGAUAGUCGGGAGGAACACCAGGUGGCGAAGGCGGCGAUCUGGGAAGAU